UGGUGUUCCAGGCAUCUGGGCUCUGAUGCCCCUGAGCUGUGGUGACAGCCCUCGAGGGGCCAAAGGUGGCCAAGCACAGUUCUGGAAGGGUGUGACUGAGCCUGUGUUGGGAGGGGUGGUAAUCACCAGAGCUGGAAGAGAAAGAGGCAAGGGUUGCUGUCAUUGGGAUUUGGAUGGGUUGAAAGAGCCAUCCAGCAACACUGCCCGAAAGAAAUUGAAUGAUGCCGACAACCGCGUAAGUGAUCUUUGAAGUAACUCCUUCCCAAUCGAACCUUCAGAUGAGAUGAACUUUCAAGUAAUACGAGAUCAAGAUUGCAGCCUUGUGAGAGAUCCUGAAGCAGGGGACUCAGCUAAGAAGAGUUAUAUGUGGUUACAUGUGACCAGUGCCAACCCGAGGUAUAUUCAGAGCCCCUGGCUUUCUAGUUGGCAGAAACAAACAUCCAUGUGGCCAACAUUGUAGUACGUACCUUCCUUUAUGAAGCUGAAAGACUCCCAAGAAACAGACGUGAUUAGAAAUUACCUCCUCAAGAAACCAUCAAAACACUGUUCACCUCAUGAACAUUCCAUUUAUCUCCUGAUCUAGCUGAGGUGGCCGGUGUUUCGUUCCUUGAUCGUGCUACCCUCUCUCUCCCAGGAUGGGCCACACCUACCCCCAGCCUCUCUUGUUUAUUCCUUAGUAUCAUGGAAGAGGUCUUUUACAAGCGGACUCAAACACUUCAGCAGAGGAAUACUGUUGUGUUUCUCAGAAGAACUGCUCGCAUCAGACCACGGGUCACCAGGGCAGGACUUGCCACGGGCCCCAUCUCACCGUCAAUUUCCAUUGCACAUUCCUGACCGUGCACUGAAUAUUUUACUAAAGACAAGCAUCCAGAACACUAUGCCUGCACGAUAAAGGCUCUCCCCCACCAGCUUCAGAAAUGAGUGACAAGAAUUUUAUUAGUCAAGGAGAUGUCUAUUGAAGCAAUGCAACAGUGAUUUUAUUGCUGCUUAAGUGGAAAGCUUUAUUGUGUACAUCUUUGUUUGCUUUUAAUCAUUCUGUGGCACUCCGAUGGGUGGUAUAGAAAUGUAAAGAUAAUGUUCUUGAAAGUCUCCUGUGAUUGUUUGAAAACAUAAAGGAAUAAAACUUAAUUAA